UUGCCCGGAUCCUGACACAGGGAGGUAGUGACAAGAAAUAACGAUACAGGGCUACAUCUAGUCUUGUAAUUGGAAUGAGUACAAUUUACAUCUCUUAACGAUGAUCAAUUGGAGGGCAAGUCUGGUGCCAGCAGCCGCGGUAAUUCCAGCUCCAAUAGCGUAUAUUAAAGUUGUUGCAGUUAGAACGCUCGUAGUCGGAUUUCGGGGCGUUCCGACCGGUCUGCCGAUGGGUAUGCACUGGCCGGAGUGUCCUUUUUGCCGGAGACCGUGCCUACUCUUAACUGAGCGGGGGCGGGAGACGGCACUUUUACUUUGAAAAAAUCAGAGUGUUUCAAGCAGGCAGCUCGCUCUUGCAUGGAUUAGCAUGGGAUAAUGAAAUAGGACUUUGGUGCUAUUUUGUUGGUUUCGAACACCGAAGUAAUGAUGAGAAGGGACAGUCAGGGGCACUCGUAUUCCGCAGAGAGAGGUGAAAUUCUCAGACCCGCGGAAGACGAACCACUGCGAAAGCAUUUGCCAGGGAUGUUUUCACUGAUCAAGAACGAAAGUUAGGGGAUCGAAGAUGAUCAGAUACCGUCGUAGUCUUAACCAUAAACCAUGCCGACUAGGGAUUGGAGGAUGUUCACUGAUUGACUCCUUCAGCACCUUACGGGAAACUAAAGUCUUUGGGUUCCGGGGGGAGUAUGGUCGCAAGGCUGAAACUUAAAGGAAUUGACGGAAGGGCACCACCAGGUGUGGAGCCUGCGGCUUAAUUUGACUCAACACGGGGAAACUUACCAGGUCCAGACAUUGUGA
rnacentral:rRNA from 1 species